rnacentral:rRNA from 1 species
AGAGUUUGAUCCUGGCUCAGGAUGAACGCUAGCUACAGGCUUAACACAUGCAAGUCGAGGGGAAACGAUAGAGAAAGCUUGCUUUUUCUAGGCGUCGACCGGCGCACGGGUGAGUAACGCGUAUCCAACCUGCCCAUCACUUGGGGAUAACCUUGCGAAAGUAAGACUAAUACCCAAUGAUAUCUCAAGAAGACAUCUGAAUGAGAUUAAAGAUUUAUCGGUGAUGGAUGGGGAUGCGUCUGAUUAGCUUGUUGGCGGGGUAACGGCCCACCAAGGCGACGAUCAGUAGGGGUUCUGAGAGGAAGGUCCCCCACAUUGGAACUGAGACACGGUCCAAACUCCUACGGGAGGCAGCAGUGAGGAAUAUUGGUCAAUGGGCGAGAGCCUGAACCAGCCAAGUAGCGUGCAGGAUGACGGCCCUAUGGGUUGUAAACUGCUUUUAUAAGGGAAUAAAGUGAGUCUCGUGAGACUUUUUGCAUGUACCUUAUGAAUAAGGACCGGCUAAUUCCGUGCCAGCAGCCGCGGUAAUACGGAAGGUCCGGGCGUUAUCCGGAUUUAUUGGGUUUAAAGGGAGCGUAGGCCGGAGAUUAAGCGUGUUGUGAAAUGUAGAUGCUCAACAUCUGCACUGCAGCGCGAACUGGUUUCCUUGAGUACGCACAAAGUGGGCGGAAUUCGUGGUGUAGCGGUGAAAUGCUUAGAUAUCACGAAGAACUCCGAUUGCGAAGGCAGCUCACUGGAGCGCAACUGACGCUGAAGCUCGAAAGUGCGGGUAUCGAACAGGAUUAGAUACCCUGGUAGUCCGCACGGUAAACGAUGGAUGCCCGCUGUUGGUCUGAAUAGGUCAGCGGCCAAGCGAAAGCAUUAAGCAUCCCACCUGGGGAGUACGCCGGCAACGGUGAAACUCAAAGGAAUUGACGGGGGCCCG